GACGAACGCUGGCGGCGUGCUUAACACAUGCAAGUCGAACGGAAAGGCCCUGCUUUUGUGGUGUUCUAGAGUGUCGAACGCGUGAGUAACACGUGAGUAAACUGCCCUUUACUUUGGGAUAACUUCAGUAAACUGGAGCUCAUACACGAUAUGAGCUCCCGCUGCAUGGUGGGGGUUGGAAAGUUUCGGUGGUUGGGGAUGGACUCGCGGCUCAUCCACUUGUUUGUGGGGUAGUGUCUUACCAAAGCAUUGACGGGUUUCCGGCCUGAGAGGAUGACCGGCCACAUUGGGACUGGGAUAAGGCCCAGACUCGUACGGGAGGCAGCAGUGGGGAAGAGUGUACAAUGGGCGGAAGCAUGAUGCAGCAACGCCGCGUGGGGGAUGACGGCCUGCGGGUUGUAAACCGCUUUCGCCUGUGACGAAGCGUGAGUGACGGUAAUGGGUAAAGAAGCACCGGCUAACUACGUG
rnacentral:rRNA from 1 species